rnacentral:rRNA from 1 species
UUAUUGGGCGUAAGCGCGCGCAGGUGGUUUCUUAAGUCUGAUGUGAAAGCCCACGCCUCAACCGUGGAGGGUCAUUGGAAACUGGGAGACUUGAGUGCAGAAGAGGAAAGUGGAAUUCCAUGUGUAGCGGUGAAAUGCGUAGAGAUAUGGAGGAACACCAGUGGCGAAUGCUUCCCUCUGGUCUGUCACUGACACUGAAGCGCGAAAGCGU